CAUGUGGUUUAAUUCGAUGCAACGCGAAAAACCUUACCCACCUUUGACAUGUACGGAACCCUUUAGAGAUAGAGGGGUGCUCGAAAGAGAGCCGUAACACAGGUGCUGCAUGGCUGUCGUCAGCUCGUGUCGUGAGAUGUUGGGUUAAGUCCCGCAACGAGCGCAACCCUUGUCAUUAGUUGCUACAUUCAGUUGGGCACUCUAAUGAGACUGCCGGUGACAAGCCGGAGGAAGGUGGGGAUGACGUCAAGUCCUCAUGGCCCUUAUAGGUGGGGCUACACACGUCAUACAAUGGCUGGUACAAAGGGUUGCCAACCCGCGAGGGGGAGCCAAUCCCAUAAAGCCAGUCGUAGUCCGGAUCGUAGUCUGCAACUCGACUACGUGAAGUCGGAAUCGCUAGUAAUCGUGGAUCAGAAUGUCACGGUGAAUACGUUCCCGGGUCUU
rnacentral:rRNA from 1 species